rnacentral:rRNA from 2 species
CGACGGGAGCUUGCUCCCUUAGGUCAGCGGCGGACGGGUGAGUAACACGUGGGUAACCUGCCUGUAAGACUGGGAUAACUCCGGGAAACCGGGGCUAAUACCGGAUGCUUGAUUGAACCGCAUGGUUCAAUCAUAAAAGGUGGCUUUUAGCUACCACUUACAGAUGGACCCGCGGCGCAUUAGCUAGUUGGUGAGGUAACGGCUCACCAAGGCGACGAUGCGUAGCCGACCUGAGAGGGUGAUCGGCCACACUGGGACUGAAACACGGCCCAAACUCCUACGGGAGGCAGCAGUAGGGAAUCUUCCGCAAUGGACGAAAGUCUGACGGAGCAACGCCGCGUGAGUGAUGAAGGUUUUCGGAUCGUAAAACUCUGUUGUUAGGGAAGAACAAGUACCGUUCGAAUAGGGCGGUACCUUGACGGUACCUAACCAGAAAGCCACGGCUAACUACGUGCCAGCAGCCGCGGUAAUACGUAGGUGGCAAGCGUUGUCCGGAAUUAUUGGGCGUAAAGCGCGCGCAGGCGGUUUCUUAAGUCUGAUGUGAAAGCCCCCGGCUCAACCGGGGAGGGUCAUUGGAAACUGGGGAACUUGAGUGCAGAAGAGGAGAGUGGAAUUCCACGUGUAGCGGUGAAAUGCGUAGAGAUGUGGAGGAACACCAGUGGCGAAGGCGACUCUCUGGUCUGUAACUGACGCUGAGGCGCGAAAGCGUGGGGAGCGAACAGGAUUAGAUACCCUGGUAGUCCACGCCGUAAACGAUGAGUGCUAAGUGUUAGAGGGUUUCCGCCCUUUAGUGCUGCAGCAAACGCAUUAAGCACUCCGCCUGGGGAGUACGGUCGCAAGACUGAAACUCAAAGGAAUUGACGGGGGCCCGCACAAGCGGUGGAGCAUGUGGUUUAAUUCGAAGCAACGCGAAGAACCUUACCAGGUCUUGACAUCCUCUGACAACCCUAGAGAUAGGGCUUCCCCUUCGGGGGCAGAGUGACAGGUGGUGCAUGGUUGUCGUCAGCUCGUGUCGUGAGAUGUUGGGUUAAGUCCCGCAACGAGCGCAACCCUUGAUCUUAGUUGCCAGCAUUCAGUUGGGCACUCUAAGGUGACUGCCGGUGACAAACCGGAGGAAGGUGGGGAUGACGUCAAAUCAUCAUGCCCCUUAUGACCUGGGCUACACACGUGCUACAAUGGGCAGAACAAAGGGCAGCGAAGCCGCGAGGCUAAGCCAAUCCCACAAAUCUGUUCUCAGUUCGGAUCGCAGUCUGCAACUCGACUGCGUGAAGCUGGAAUCGCUAGUAAUCGCGGAUCAGCAUGCCGCGGUGAAUACGUUCCCGGGCCUUGUACACACCGCCCGUCACACCACGAGAGUUUGUA